CCUACGGGAGGCAGCAGUGAGGAAUAUUGGACAAUGGGCGAGAGCCUGAUCCAGCAAUACCUCGUGUGUGAAGAAGGCCUUAGGGUUGUAAAGCACUUUCAAUUGGGACGAAGGGAGUAAGUUUAAUACGCUUAUUUCUUGACGGUACCUUUAGAAGAAGCACCGGCUAACUCCGUGCCAGCAGCCGCGGUAAU
rnacentral:rRNA from 1 species